UCCUACGGGAGGCAGCAGUGGGGAAUAUUGGACAAUGGGCGGAAGCCUGAUCCAGCCAUGCCGCGUGUGUGAAGAAGGCCUUUUGGUUGUAAAGCACUUUAAGCGAGGAGGAGGCUACCUGGAUUAAUACUCUAGGAUAGUGGACGUUACUCGCAGAAUAAGCACCGGCUAACUCUGUGCCAGCAGCCGCGGUAAUACAGAGGGUGCGAGCGUUAAUCGGAUUUACUGGGCGUAAAGCGUGCGUAGGCGGCUUUUUAAGUCGGAUGUGAAAUCCCCGAGCUUAACUUGGGAAUUGCAUUCGAUACUGGGAAGCUAGAGUAUGGGAGAGGAUGGUAGAAUUCCAGGUGUAGCGGUGAAAUGCGUAGAGAUCUGGAGGAAUACCGAUGGCGAAGGCAGCCAUCUGGCCUAAUACUGACGCUGAGGUACGAAAGCAUGGGGAGCAAACAGGAUUAGAUACCCUGGUAGUCC
rnacentral:rRNA from 1 species